AUAUUUGCCUGGCGCAGAGGUUACCGUGAUCAGGAAGACAGUUCCUCCAAGAUUCUUCCAUUGCACUACGAUCAAACUGUCUUGCGAAGAUAUCCCUAAAGUGGAUAUCUCGAGCGUAUAAUUUUUGGUAAUAAAAUGCUGGCAUUUAA
rnacentral:snRNA from 1 species